GCAUGCUGCUGGGCAGGGAGGAGACAGGACGGCACGGUGGCUCCAGCGCGCAGGGGGGCUGCACAGCGUGGGGGCAGCUACAGAGCAGUCACGGCAUCUUAAUCAUCGGGAACAAUGACCUGAGGGCAGCACAGGCCCGGAUUCACCAGGAGCACAACCAAGAGAAACUGGAUACAGACUGGAGGAGAAGGAAGAGAAAAAGGCAUCAGGGCAGAUGUUUCUAGACAACACAAGCUGUGGCCCAGCCCCCACGGACGACAGGACGGAAGCAGCGGAGAGAAGGAGGCGGCUCUUCAGACCGUAGCCCGCCAGGUUCCUCUGUCUGUCCAUGGGGUUCUCCAGGCAAGAAGACUGGAGUGGGCAUACUCCAGGGCAUCUUCCCCACCCAGGGACUGAACCCACGUCUCUUGUGGCUCCUGCACUGACAGCCAGCCCUUGGUUUGAUUUCCAGAAGUCAAAGCAAAUUGAGCAAGAGCCAAAAACAAAUGUGCUUACUUCCCAAUUUUGCCUGGGUCUACAACAGAGCUAAGACUCCAGAUUCUGAUGCUGUGACGAAUUUUCAUCUAAACCUGCUCCCUCAUCUGAGCCUCUCCUUUAUGCAAUAGCCAAUGUCUGCAGGACAGCUGGAUGACAAACACUUAUAACAAUAAAAUGAAACCACCAAAAGGCCUACAUACACUUUUUACCACUUUCAAGCUCUAAUGAAAUGAUGUGUUUGAAUCUCAAAAACCAUUAUUCUGAGUAAAGGAAGGCAGUACACAAAACAGUGUCUACUGUAAUGUUCUGUUUAUAUGACUUCCAAGAAUAGGCAAUACUAACGUAUGGUGGUAGAAGUCAGAAACUGGCAGGAUAUAAGCGGGGUGUGAAGGACAUUUUUAGAGUGAUGGAAAUGUUCUGUAUCUUAACUUUGGAUGGUAGUUACAUGGGUUAAAAGUCAACUAGCUGCAUCAACUGUGAAUUUCACUGUACACUGAGUAUAUCUCAACUUUUAAAUGUAUUAAGUACUUUUAAUGCAUUAAUACCUUUAAUACAUAAGUACAUUUAAUACUGGAGUGGCUACCAACUCCAGUAUUUUUGCCUAGAGAAUUCUAUGGACAGAGAAGCCUGGUGAGCUACAGUUCAUGGAGUUGCAAAGAGUCAGACAUGAUUGAGUGACUAACACUUUCACUUUUUUCAAGUGACUAUUAUCACUAAAUAAAAGCUUUUUUGAGGAUAUGUCUUCAGAAAUCUUGAAGAUCUUUAGGAUCAUUGCCAUUAUAUUAAUUUCUCGCCAGAGGAGUGGUUAAGAGGUUGAGGUGACAAGAGAAAGGAGAAGGUAGGUGGAGGUGGUUCUUGGCCUCCAUGCCCAUCUCUCUCACAGGCACGUGCUAGCAAUAAGUCCUCAGAUAUCUCAAUUGGGGGACCUGGUCUUUAACAAAAAAAAAAAAAGCAGAAAAUGAGGAAA